rnacentral:tRNA from 1 species
AAGAUAUUAGUAAAGACGAGAUUACACUGCUUUGUCAAGGCAAAAUCGCGGGUUGAAUCCCCGCAUAUCUUA